UCACUAGUCAAAAGGGAAACAGCCCAGACCGUCGCUUAAGGUCCCUAAAUCCGAAUUAAGUGUUAAAGGUGGUGGAAAGACUCAAACAACUAGGAGGUUGGCUUAGAAGCAGCCAUCCUUUAAAGAAAGCGUAACAGCUCACUAGUCGAGUUUUUCUGCGUCGAAAAUAAUCGGGACUAAAUUCGGUACCGAAAGCACGGGUUCUCCGAUUUAUCGGAGAGCGGUAGGGGAGUUUUUUCGAGUCGGCGAAGUCGCAUCCGUAAGGAGCGGUGGAGGCUCGAGAAGUGAGAAUGUUGGCAUAAGUAACAAAAAUGCUGUUGAAAACACAGCACACCGAUAGCCUGAGGUUUCCUGGGCAACGCAAAUCGACCCAGGGUUAGUCGGGCCUAAGCUGAGGCCGAAAGGCGUAGGCGAUGGAAAAGCUGGUUAAUAUUCCAGCACCUUCAUAUUUUUGUUUAUAAGUGCGCUUCUAUGUGGCAAGAGAGCGUUUUGGUUAUACGCUUGGCUCCUUGAGCAAUCAAGGGUCCGCAGGUGAAGCCGCAAGGUGGAGCCGAUUCUUGUAAAGUAGGAGCCUAGAAAAUCUUAUAAACGUUAAGGGUAUGGAGUCCGUACCGUAAACCGACACAGGUAGGCAAGGCGGGAAGCCUAAGGUGUACGGGAGAAUCCUCGUUUAGGAACUAAGCAAAAAAACUAGGCGUAAGUUCGCGAUAAGCCUUGCCCCGAGCAAUCGGGGCUGCAAUAAAAAUAUCUCAAGUGACUGUUUACCAAAAACACAGGUCCCUGCGAAAGCGCAAGCUGAUGUAUAGGGGCUGAUGCCUGGCCAGUGUCAGAACGUUAAGGGGAGAGGUCAUCCGUCGCAAGACGGGGCAGCCUUGAACUGAAGCGCUGAUGAACGCCGGCGAUAACUAUAAUCGUCCUAAGGUAGCGAAAUCCCUUGUCGGGUGAGUUCCGACCCGCACGAAUGGCAUAACAACUUGAGAACUGUCUUAACGAGGAACCCGGUGAAAUUGCAAGAGGGGUGAAGAUGCCCUUUACCCACGGCUAGACGAAAAGACCCCGUGAAGCUUUACUACAA
rnacentral:rRNA from 1 species